GGGAAAGCGGAAGCCGGGAAUGGAGAGCCCGGUGCAAGCGGGGUACCAGUCACUUUGGCAAAUCCGGGGCAAUGGGAAGCCGUGAUGCGGAGCGAAAUAAAGUAGCGAAGUCCGUGAGCCAUGCGUCAAGAAAAGCCGCUAUCGUUUAUACCGUACCCGUACCGUAAACCGACACAGGUGGAUGAGGAGAGAAUCCUAAGGCCGGCGGAAGAAGCAUUGUCAAGGAACUCGGCAAAAUGGCCCCGUAACUUAGGGAUAAGGGGUGCCUGGGAAACCAGGCCGCAGAGAAUAGGCUCAAGCAACUGUUUAGCAAAAACACAGGUCUAUGCGAAACCGAAAGGUGAGGUAUAUGGGCUGACGCCUGCCCGGUGCUGGAAGGUUAAGAGGAGAGGUUAGCGGUAACGCGAAGCUUUGAAUUUAAGCCCCAGUAAACGGCGGCCGUAACUAUAACGGUCCUAAGGUAGCGAAAUUCCUUGUCGGGUAAGUUCCGACCCGCACGAAAGGCGUAAUGAUUUGAGCGCUGUCUCGACAAUGCAUCCGGUGAAAUUGAAGUACCAGUGAAGAUGCUGGUUACCUGCGCCAGGACGGAAAGACCCCAUGGAGCUUUACUCCAGUCUGGUACUGGGACUCGGUAUUGCAUGUACAGGAUAGGUGGGAGGCUAGGAGAUGGUAACGCCAGUUGCCAUGGAGCCGCUGUUGGGAUACCACCCUUGCAGUAUUGGGUUUCUAACCAGCCGCCGUGACCCGGCGGUGGGACAAUGCCAGACGGGGAGUUUGACUGGGGCGGUCGCCUCCGAAAGGGUAUCGGAGGCGCCCAAAGGUUCCCUCAGAAUGGACGGAAACCAUUCGAAGAGUGCAAAGGCAGAAGGGAGCUUGACUGCGACACCGACGGGUGGAGCAGGUACGAAAGUAGGGCUUAGUGAUCCGGUGGUAUUAAGUGGGAAUGCCAUCGCUCAACGGAUAAAAGCUACCCUGGGAUAACAGGCUUAUCACUCCCAAGAGUUCACAUCGACGGAGUGGUUUGGCACCUCGAUGUCGGCUCAUCGCAUCCUGGGGCUGUAGUAGGUCCCAAGGGUUGGGCUGCUCGCCCAUUAAAGCGGUACGCGAGCUGGGUUCAGAACGUCGUGAGACAGUUCGGUCCCUAUCCGGCGUGGGCGUAGGAUAUCUGAGAGGAGCUGUCCUUAGUACGAGAGGACCGGGAUGGACGGGCCGCUGGUGCAUCGGUUAGACUGCCAAGUCUACGGCCGAGUAGCCAAGCCCGGAAGGGAUAAACGCUGAAGGCAUCUAAGCGUGAAGCCCCCCUUAAGAUGAGAUAUCCCAUUCGUUAAGAAGUAAACCCCCUUGAAGACGACGAGGUAGAUAGGGCAGAGGUGGAAGUGCAGUAAUGCAUGGAGCUGACUGUUACUAAUCGGGUGAGGGCUUGACC
rnacentral:rRNA from 1 species